UUUAAAUUCUUACUCUGCAUUCAGCUGUUGUUAGGGUGACAAAGUUUCAAAUGUAUAUUUUAGGUCUUCCUCAUCUAUAUUUAAUUUAUUGCUCGUCAUUGUUAAAACGAUUGAGAUGCCAAUCAAAGCGCACAGCAGCCAAUCGAAGGCUUUAGAUUAGUCACGCUUGUUAAGUUCACGUGCUCGUGACUGAAUUCACCGCGUUCACGGAGUCUCUCGUCUUAAACAACAAAUAGUGUUUUAGCGACAUAAAUGAAUUUCAUCGGAUCACAACCCUUCCUUUACACUCCAAAAUUCAUGUCCAAACUGGAUCUGUUCUCUGAUGAUCUGCUAAAAGUGUUUUCCAAAAAAGGGUGGAGUGUUUAGAAAAAAGAUUCAAGAUGUGAUGCUGCCAAUGUCUCAGACCAAGCAAGAGUGCAUUCUCAAGGGGCUAUGCAUCUACCUGAAUGAAGAUGAAUAUGAUGGAGUAUUUGGUGAGUUCU